rnacentral:rRNA from 1 species
UACGUAGGGCGCAAGCGUUAUCCGGAAUUAUUGGGCGUAAAGAGCUCGUAGGCGGUUUGUCGCGUCUGCCGUGAAAGUCCGGGGCUCAACUCCGGAUCUGCGGUGGGUACGGGCAGACUAGAGUGAUGUAGGGGAGACUGGAAUUCCUGGUGUAGCGGUGAAAUGCGCAGAUAUCAGGAGGAACACCGAUGGCGAAGGCAGCUCGUGG